rnacentral:tRNA from 3 species
GCUUAGAAAGCAUUUGCAGUGAUAUUUGUAAUUCAUUAUUUGGGUUUACCCUCUAAGUU